UGACGGUGGAAUGCAGUAGAAAGAUCCCGGCUUCGGGUGUGGACAAUUUCUAGUUCCACCGUCUGGCCGUGUGGCCUUGAAGGGAGAUUUCAACGAGGCAGCCUGAGAGGUGUCCAGGAUGUCACAGCAUUGCUGCUGCUGCAAGGGACUUCUAAUUCUGGCCCAAGUUCUCUGCUUCCUGUCUGCCACCGUGCUAUGACAGGUCCCUUGAAGACAACGGUAGCUUGGGCUUGGUCCCCUCAAUGUCCCCAUUCAUCUAACUGUGGAACAUGUCUGAGCAUCCAGGAGGAAUGUGCCACCACACUUCUCUAAGUCAGGACCUGG